GGUCCUGAUGAGGUGAAAAGGCAGGAUUCCAAAGUUGAAAAUUCUGACACAUACCAUAUGUACUGCACCAUCCCUGAGGAGUCAGCUGCUUCAGACCUGAUGAUGGGUAAAAUGUACAGCACGGUGCAGCCACACUCAAACCAUGUGUUUGAAGUAAACUUUUAUAAUCCAAACUAAUGUUAGACAACUGAAAUGUAUUUCUCUCAUCAACCAAACUGAGAUUAAAAAAAGAUUUAGCCAAACUUUUACCUAAAGCAGAAGUUGACUCUUUCUAGUUUGUAAAUGUGUUUCUGUUUAAUGUUGUGUAUGCAGUUUUACAUUUAUUAACACAAGUUGAAAAAAGGGAAAACCCUAAUAUAUACUGUAUAUCUAUUAAAUCGGAUGUAACUUGUAUAGUAACUCUGUGACUAUGCCCUAUAAAUGUAUUUAUACUGCU